UAAGAAGAGGUGUUGUGGAAGCACAAGAGGUUUUGAUCCUCUAAGGAUAAGUUCGAAUCUUAUCUUUUUAG
rnacentral:tRNA from 1 species